AGCUAAUAGAUACCCGGGUAGUCCACGCCCUAAACGAUGUCUACUAGUUGUUGGUGGAGUAAAAUCCAUGAGUAAACGCAGCUAAACGCGUGAAGUAGACCGCCUGGGGAGUACGGUCGCAAGAUUAAAACUCAAAGGAAUUGACGGGGGCCCGGCACAAGCGGUGGAUUAUGUGGAUUAAAUUACGAUGCAACGCGAAAAACCUUAACCUGGCCGUUGACAUGCCACUAACGAAGCAGAGAUGCAUUAGGUUGCCCGUAACGGGAAAGUGGACACAGGUGCUGCAUGGCGUGUCGUCAGCUCGUGUCGUGAGAUGUUGGGUUUAAGUCCCGCAACGAGCGCAACCCUUGCCAUU
rnacentral:rRNA from 1 species